UGGCCCUACCCUCGUGGCUCCAAGGCUAGGAUAAGUAUUGAAUUUAUAGAUAGCUCUUUCAAAUCUCUUAGCAACUGUAGCCUCUGAAGCAUCUACAUAUCAUCAUUUUGUUUUACAUGUUUAUCAUUGCAUGUUUGUAUAUUUGUUUAUAUAUGAUUGUCUUGUCCUUAUGUGGUUCUUUUUGUGAAAGGACAGGCCGUUUGAAUAUUGUGUGAGAAAUUCUCUAUCAAUGUAAUGGUAUGCUUUUAUGAAAAUAAUUGAUCUUGUUUGACAAUUGAAAUGGUAACA
rnacentral:lncRNA from 1 species